rnacentral:rRNA from 1 species
AAAGCGCGCGUAGGUGGUUUGUUAAGUUGGAUGUGAAAUCCCCGGGCUCAACCUGGGAACUGCAUCCAAAACUGGCAAGCUAGAGUAUGGUAGAGGGUGGUGGAAUUUCCUGUGUAGCGGUGAAAUGCGUAGAUAUAGGAAGGAACACCAGUGGCGAAGGCGACCACCUGGACUGAUACUGACACUGAGGUGCGAAAGCGUGGGGAGCAAACAGGAUUAGAUACUCGGGU